rnacentral:misc_RNA from 1 species
GAUGAAGAACGUAGCGAAAUGCGAUACGUAAUGUGAAUUGCAAAUUCAGUGAAUCAUCGAGUCUUUGAACGCACAUUGCGCCCCCUGGUAUUCCGGGGGGCAUGCCUGUCCGAGCGUCAUUGCUGCCCUCAAGCACGGCUUGUGUGUUGGGCCCCGUCCUCCGAUCCCGGGGGACGGGCCCGAAAGGCAGCGGCGGCACCGCGUCCGGUCCUCGAGCGUAUGGGGCUUUGUCACCCGCUCUGUAGGCCCGGCCGGCGCUUGCCGAUCAACCCAAAUUUUUAUCCAGGUUGACCUCGGAUCAGGUAGGGAUACCCGCUGAGUUUAAGCAUAUCAAUAAGCGGAGGA